UACGUAGGGGGCUAGCGUUGUCCGGAAUCAUUGGGCGUAAAGAGCGUGUAGGCGGCCCGGUAAGUCCGCUGUGAAAGUCGGGGGCUCAACCCUCGAAUGCCGGUGGAUACUGUCGGGCUAGAGUGCGGAAGAGGCGAGUGGAAUUCCUGGUGUAGCGGUGAAAUGCGCAGAUAUCAGGAGGAACAUCAGUGGCGAAGGCGGCUGCCUGGCCCAAUACUGACACUCAGGUGCGACAGCGUGGGGAGCAAACAGG
rnacentral:rRNA from 1 species